GUCAGGAUGGCCGAGCGGUCUAAGGCGCUGCGUUCAGGUCGCAGUCUCCUCUGGAGGCGUCGGUUCGACUCCCACUUCUGACA
rnacentral:tRNA from 1 species